UACAUUACCUGGGAGGGGAGAUAGCAUGCUCAUGAAGGUGGUUUACCCAGAGCAAGGCUAAUGCAUUGCACGACAGAUUUGCUGGCCACUGCGAUUUACCCAAAUGCGGGAAAUUCCACUGCAUAAUUUGUAGUAGUGAGGGACUGUGUUCAUGCUCUCCUCUA